CGGGGACUCGCAAGAACCUCGCGUUUUUCGGAGCGGCCGAUAUCGGAUUAGCUAGUAGGUGAGGUAAAGGCUCACCUAGGCGACGAUCCGUAGCUGGUCUGAGAGGACGACCAGCCACACUGGAACUGAGACACGGUCCAGACUCCUACGGGAGGCAGCAGUGGGAAUUUUGGACAAUUGGGCGCAAGCCUGAUCCAGCCAUGCCGCGUGAGUGAAGAAGGCCUUCGGGUUGUAAAGCUCUUUCAGCCGGAAAGAAAACGCACGGGUUAAUAACCUGUGUGGAUGACGGUACCGGAAGAAGAAGCACCGGCUAACUACGUG
rnacentral:rRNA from 1 species